GUCCACGCUGUAAACGAUAAUCACUAGAUGUUAGUUCGGCUUAGCUGGAUUAGUAUCGAAGCUAACGCGUUAAGUGAUUCGCCUGGGGAGUACGGUCGCAAGAUUAAAACUCAAAGAAAUUGACGGGGGUCGCACAAGCGGUGGAACAUGUGGUUUAAUUCGUCACUACGCGAGGAACCUUACCUGGACUUGACAUGUAUUUGACAGCUGUAGAAAUACAGUUUUUUAGGCUUCGGUUUAGACAGAUGCACAGGUGCUGCAUGGCUGUCGU
rnacentral:rRNA from 1 species